UACGAAGGGUGCAAGCGUUAAUCGGAAUUACUGGGCGUAAAGCGUGCGUAGGCGGUUUCUUAAGUCUGCUGUGAAAGCCCUGGGCUCAACCUGGGAAUGGCGGUGGAUACUGAGAAGCUGGAGUACGGUAGAGGAAGGUGGAAUUCCCGGUGUAGCGGUGAAAUGCGUAGAGAUCGGGAGGAACAUCAGUGGCGAAGGCGGCCUUCUGGACCAGUACUGACGCUGAGGCACGAAGGCCAGGGGAGCAAACGGG
rnacentral:rRNA from 1 species